CAUAAUUAACUACAGCCGUCUCGUUCGUUACAAAAGAAGUUUAGGAGAAAUGAACUGGUUCAUGUCGGCUUUCACUCUCAGCUGUUUAACCGUGCCUAGAGUAGAUUCUCUACUUUCCAAUGACUUCAACUCUCCACUCCCAUCUCCAGUUCCAGAAAUUGAUGUUUCUUUCAACAUUAAUUGGACACUAAAGAUUAUGUUGCCAAUGGGGGCUGUUGCAACUACCCUUGCUUUCAUAGGGUGGAUUGUAUACAAAAAAUUAAUUCGGGCAUCAGGCGACGUUGAGGCUGAAAUUGAAAUGGAUGAGAAUUAAGUGAUUUUCUUUGUUUUUUUUUGCGUGUGACUAGAAUAAUUUUCUUUGCUUUAAUUUCUAUGUAUUAGACUUGAGGUGUUAGGUCUUAGUUUAUUAACCACAAAGGACCGAAUUUGAUUUUGGUCAAAAACGGUUGUAAAAUGGCUAUUAUAGUGCCACUUAAAUUAAUAAAAAAAUAUCCUAUGCUUUGAAAAUA